AUUGAACGCUGGCGGCAGGCCUAACACAUGCAAGUCGAACGGUAACAGGAAGAAGCUUGCUUCUUUGCUGACGAGUGGCGGACGGGUGAGUAAUGUCUGGGAAACUGCUUGAUGGAGGGGGAUAACUACUGGAAACGGUACCUAAUACCGCAUAACGUCGCAAGACCAAAGUGGGGGACCUUCGGGCCUCUUGCCAUCGGAUGUGCCCAGAUGGGAUUAGCUAGUAGGUGGGGUAACGGCUCACCUAGGCGACGAUCCCUAGCUGGUCUGAGAGGAUGACCAGCCACACUGGAACUGAGACACGGUCCAGACUCCUACGGGAGGCAGCAGUGGGGAAUAUUGCACAAUGGGCGCAAGCCUGAUGCAGCCAUGCCGCGUGUAUGAAGAAGGCCUUCGGGUUGUAAAGUACUUUCAGCGGGGAGGAGGGGAGUAAAGUUAAUCCCUUUGCUCAUUGACGUUACCCGCAGAAGAAGCACCGGCUAACUCCGUG
rnacentral:rRNA from 1 species